UGAAACGUAAUACAGACUGCAGUACUUAUAUUUAACACAAGAUGGUGAUCUCACCUCAAAAUACAUAGACAGGAAGUGAUGUAAGGUAGAGACAGGAAGUGAUGUAAGGUAGAGGCGUAGAAAUAUAAACAAAAAAGUUUCAGGCGAAAGGUGAAUUAAUAGAAGCAAGAAAGCAUUCCUGGAACUGAUAGAGAUAAUGAGAGUUUUCCAUCGUUGAAGUCUGGUGACCAUCUAACCAUCAGAGUGCUUUCUCAUCAUUCCUUGAAAUCCAAGAGGAACAAUGAUAAGAAGAUUUUGGACAUCACUAACAAGAUCAUUGAUCUGCUGACAGGAGAGGUUCCUAUAAGGUGUCAGGAUGUCACUGUCUAUUUCUCCAUG